GACGAACGCUGGCGGCGUGCUUAACACAUGCAAGUCGAACGAUGAAGCUGGAGCUUGCUCUGGUGGAUUAGUGGCGAACGGGUGAGUAACACGUGAGCAACCUGCCCCUGACUCUGGGAUAACAGCCGGAAACGGCUGCUAAUACCGGAUAUGCACCAUGAACGCAUGUUCUGUGGUGGGAAAGAUUUUUCGGUUGGGGAUGGGCUCGCGGCCUAUCAGCUUGUUGGUGAGGUAAUGGCUCACCAAGGCGUCGACGGGUAGCCGGCCUGAGAGGGUGACCGGCCACACUGGGACUGAGACACGGCCCAGACUCCUACGGGAGGCAGCAGUGGGGAAUAUUGCACAAUGGGCGAAAGCCUGAUGCAGCAACGCCGCGUGAGGGAUGACGGCCUUCGGGUUGUAAACCUCUUUUAGCAGGGAAGAAGCGAGAGUGACGGUACCUGCAGAAAAAGCGCCGGCUAACUACGUG
rnacentral:rRNA from 1 species